rnacentral:rRNA from 1 species
AUGUUCUUGCACACCGUUGGGCACAACAUUAGAAAUAGGGUAAUUGGUGCCAAUUUUGGUAGAUCCGGUGAAGUCCUAAGCCGUUACUUCCAAAGGGUACUUCAUGCCAUUGGCGAGCUUCGAGAUGACCUUAUUAGAAAGCCUUCAUUAGAGAACCAAACCAAAGUAGAAGGAAACUACCGGUGGGAUCCAUACUUUAAGGUAUGA